rnacentral:rRNA from 1 species
GUGAUGAAGGUUUUCGGAUCGUAAAGCUCUGUUGUUAGGGAAGAACAAGUGCCGUUCAAAUAGGGCGGCACCUUGACGGUACCUAACCAGAAAGCCUGGCUAACUACGUGCCAGCAGCCGCGGUAAUACGUAGGUGGCAAGCGUUGUCCGGAAUUAUUGGGCGUAAAGGGCUCGCAGGCGGUUUCUUAAGUCUGAUGUGAAAGCCCCCGGCUCAACCGGGGAGGGUCAUUGGAAACUGGGGAACUUGAGUGCAGAACGGAGAGUGGAAUUCCACGUGUAGCGGUGAAAUGCGUAGAGAUGUGGAGGAACACCAGUGGCGAAGGCGACUCUCUGGUCUGUAACUGACGCUGAGGAGCGAAAGCGUGGGGAGCGAACAGGAUUAGAUACCCUGGUAGUCCACGCCGUAAACGAUGAGUGCUAAGUGUUAGGGGGUUUCCGCCCCUUAGUGCUGCAGCUAACGCAUUAAGCACUCCGCCUGGGGAGUACGGUCGCAAGACUGAAACUCAAAUGAAUUGACGGA